rnacentral:rRNA from 1 species
AGAACGAACGCUGGCGGCGCGUUUAAGCAUGCAAGUCGAGCGGCAAGGGCCUUCGGGCCCCUAGAGCGGCGGACGGUGAGUAACACGUGGACAAUCCUGCCCCCCGGCCCGGGAUAGCCCAGGGAAACCUGGAUUAAUACCGGAUGAGACGGGACCCGCGAUGGCGGGAUCCGGAAAGGCGCUGCGGCGCCGCCGGGGGAUGAGUCUGCGUCCCAUUAGCUAGACGGCGGGUAACGGCCCACCGUGGCGACGAUGGGUAGCCGGCCUGAGAGGGUGGACGGCCACAUUGGAACUGAGACACGGUCCAGACUCCUACGGGAGGCAGCAGCUAAGAAUCUUCCGCAAUGGGCGAAAGCCUGACGGAGCGUAACCGCCGCGUGAACGAAGAAGGCCGUGAGGUUGUAAAGUUCUUUUCGGGAGGGGGAACAACCGUGGCAGGGAAUGGCCGCGGGAUGACGUGAAUCCCGGAAUAAGCCCCGGCUAACUACGUGCCAGCAGCCGC